rnacentral:rRNA from 1 species
UACAGAGGUCUCAAGCGUUGUUCGGAUUCAUUGGGCGUAAAGGGUGCGUAGGCGGCGCGGUAAGUCGGGUGUGAAAUCUUGGAGCUUAACUCCGAAACUGCAUUCGAUACUGCGGUGCUUGAGGACUGGAGAGGAGACUGGAAUUCAUGGUGUAGCAGUGAGAUGCGCAGAUAUCAGGAGGAACACCGGUGGCGAAGGCGGGUCUCUGGGCAGUAACUGACGCUGAGGAGCGAAAGCGUGGGGAGCGAACAGG